rfam:Sorghum bicolor cultivar BTx623 chromosome 2, whole genome shotgun sequence.
GCACACAUAUCCACCCCUAUCCACAUGGUUUGUGAGGGAUUGAAGUGGAACUUAAACUAAAUUCCACCUCAAUCCCUCCCAAACCACGUGGAUUGGGGUGGAUUUGUGU